AACGCGAAGAACCUUACCAGCUUUUGACAUGGAACGUUUGAGGACCAGAGAUGGUUUUCUUCAGUUAGGCUGGCGUUCACACAGGUGCUGCAUGGCUGUCGUCAGCUCGUGUCGUGAGAUGUUGGGUUAAGUCCCGCAACGAGCGCAACCCUUGCCGUUAGUUGCCAUCAGGUUGGGCUGGGCACUUUAACGGAACUGCCGGUGAUAAGCCGGAGGAAGGUAGGGAUGAUGUCAAGUCCUCAUGGCCCUUAUAGGCUGGGCUACACACGUACUACAAUGGCGGUGACAGAAGGGAGCGAAGGAGUGAUCUGGAGCGAAUCCUUAAAAGCCGUCUCAGUUCGGAUUGUUCUCUGCAACUCGAGAGCAUGAAGUCGGAAUCGCUAGUAAUCGUAGAUCAGCAUGCUACGGUGAAUACGUUCCCGGGCCUUGUACACACCGUAGUAC
rnacentral:rRNA from 1 species